rnacentral:rRNA from 1 species
CCUACGGGUGGCAGCAGUGAGGAAUAUUGGUCAAUGGGCGCGAGCCUGAACCAGCCAAGUCGCGUGAGGGAUGAAGGUACAGAGUAUCGUAAACCUCUUUUGUCAGGGAACAAAGGCGGGGACGUGUCCCCGGAUGAGUGUACCUGAAGAAAAAGCAUCGGCUAACUCCGUGCCAGCAGCCGCGGUAAUACGGAGGAUGCGAGCGUUAUCCGGAUUUAUUGGGUUUAAAGGGUGCGCAGGCGGUCUGUUAAGUCAGCGGUCAAAGCCCGGGGCUCAACCCCGGCCCGCCGUUGAAACUGGCAGUCUCGAGUUGGAGAGAAGUAUGCGGAAUGCGCGGUGUAGCGGUGAAAUGCAUAGAUAUCGCGCAGAACUCCGAUUGCGAAGGCAGCAUGCCGGCUCCACACUGACGCUGAGGCACGAAAGCGUGGGUAUCGAACAGGAUUAGAUACCCGUGUAGU